rnacentral:rRNA from 1 species
UACGUAGGGGGCAAGCGUUAUCCGGAAUCAUUGGGCGUAAAGCGCGUGUAGGCGGUUCCGUAAGUCCGCUCUGAAAGCCCAGGGCUCAACCCUGGGAGGCGGGUGGAUACUACGGAACUGGAGUACGGAAGAGGAGAUUGGAAUUCCUGGUGUAGCAGUGAAAUGCGUAGAUAUCAGGAGGAACACCGAUGGCGAAGGCAGGUCUCUGGGCUGACACUGACGCUCAUGCACGAAAGCGUGGGGAGCAAACAGG